rnacentral:rRNA from 1 species
AGAGUUUGAUCAUGGCUCAGAACGAACGCUGGCGGCAGGCCUAACACAUGCAAGUCGAACGAGAAGCCACCUUCGGGUGGUGGACAGUGGCAGACGGGUGAGUAACGCGUGGGAACGUGCCUUUCGGUUCGGGAUAACCCAGGGAAACUUGGGCUAAUACCGGAUACGCCCUUCGGGGGAAAGAUUCAUUGCCGAAAGAUCGGCCCGCGUCGGAUUAGCUAGUUGGUGGGGUAAUGGCCUACCAAGGCGACGAUCCGUAGCUGGUCUGAGAGGAUGACCAGCCACACUGGGACUGAGACACGGCCCAGACUCCUACGGGAGGCAGCAGUGGGGAAUAUUGGACAAUGGGCGCAAGCCUGAUCCAGCCAUGCCGCGUGGGUGAAGAAGGCCUUAGGGUUGUAAACCCCUUUCAGCGGGGAAGAUAAUGACGGUACCCGCAGAAAAAGUCCCGGCUAACUCCGUGCCAGCAGCCGCGGUA